CCUUGUCGAGUGUGCGAGCAAGGGAGCGGGUGUGUGCAAGCGAACGUGCUGGUGUGUGGGUGAGCGAGCGAGUCCGUGUGUUCGAGGGACGUGCGAGGGCUGCGAGCGACGAAGCUGGUGCGAGGCUCGGGUGCGAGCAAAGGAGCGAGCAAGAGGGGCGUUGUGCGACGAAGCUCGAAGUGCGAGUCGAGUGGCUCGAGUGUUGAGCGAGGGACAAAGAAGGCUUGCGCGAGGCUGCUGCUGUGCGAGUUGUGCGACGAAGCUCGAAGCGUGCGCUGCUGCUGCUGUGCGAGUAGUGCGACGAAGUUGUUGCGCCGUGGCCGGAAAUUGAUUGCCGGCGAGCUUAACGGUCCCAAUUUCAUAAGCGGAACGUUCGAUUAAGACAGCGAAAAUUCUCCGUUACAAGACUAGGUGUGCUGGUGCUGCUGCAUAAUCUCGAGCAUACGGGGACUAGGCUUGGUAUUUACAUUUAAAGCAUUUUGAAAUAAGUAUUAUUGGUUUUUCUAAGACUUAUAUAUGGUUUGUGGUUUGAAUGAAAGGGGUCAUUGAUGAUUCCCGAGUUGUAUUUAUAUUUUAAUU